CUGGGACAACCACUGGAAACGGUGGCUAAUACCGUGUAUGUGCCCUUCGGGGUGAAAGGUUAACUGCCUGAAGAUGAGCUCGCGUACUGAGUUAGCUAGUUGGAAGUGUAAAGGACUCCUCAAGGCGACGAUCAGUAGCUGGUCUGAGAGAGGACGAUCAGCCACACUGGGACUGAGACACGGCCCAGACUCCUACGGGAGGCAGCAGUGGGGUAAUUUUCCGCCAAUGGGCGAAAGCCUGACGGAGCAAUAUCCGCGUGAGGGAGGAAGGCUCUUGAGG
rnacentral:rRNA from 1 species